UAAUUUAUUUUUGGUUGAAAUUUUUAUAGUUUUAUAUCUCAUUCAUUAUUCAAGAUAUUGACAUGAAACUUAAGGUAUGUUUUACUUUCAAUACCUACACUAAGGUAAGAAACCUAGUCACUGUUUGACAUAAGUCUAUAUAGAUAAGACAAAAUUAUGCCCCUUUUUAAGUUAGAUUAUUUUUUUUUUAAGUUUUACCUGCAUAUAAAGAAAUAUGGUUUUUAGCUCACAUGAGCACAGUGUGCUCAGGAUGGGCUAUUUUGAUCUCCCAAUAUCCGUUGUCCAUCGUCCAAAUUUGCUUCAAACAACAUGGAUUUUCAUGAAACUCAGUAAAAAUGAUAUGCACAUUACCAUCUUUGCUUUGAUUGGAGUUAAGGCCUUUGGAUUAAUCCCUAUAUUCCAUAUAUAUAUAUAUAUAUAUAUAUAUAGCAUAAACAAUGUAACAUGAAACUCUUUUUGUGCAGAUUCUGGCUAACUAUUUAUGGGAAUUCAAUGAGGAUUUAACCUUCUGAAUCAAGAGUAGAUGCACACCUGUAAACUUAAGAGGUCAGAGGUCCCAAACAGAGUUCUUUUUGUGUCUACUCUUUAUCUUCCUACUCUUUGAAAAUGGCCUGCAGUGUUAAAAUAACAUUUUCAGCUUGCAUGUAAAUUCACCAAAAUUUACUUGAUGCUUUACUUUUUAAUGUAAAUGUACAUCUAUUUGAAUUUAUUUUCUUAAUAAGGAAGGUCAUUUUGUAAUGUAUGUGACAUCACUGUCUUGGGAAUCACUGAAAUGUCGGACCUGACAUUAAAUGAAUGCAUUAAUCUUAAUCAAUUUUAUUUCUUCAAUUGCUCAACUAACUGUUGUAAUUAAUUUCUGUGAGAUUUUUUCUAUUGAUGGAACAAUGAUCUGAAAACAUAACCCUGUUUUGUUGUUUUUAAAAUCCUGCUAUCUCAUAUUCUGUUAAUGUGUGUUAAUGUUUGUUUAUUCGUGGGCAUAAUUUUCUUACUUUUAUUCUUGUAUUGCUAAUUAUACCCCCGCACAACAAAGUUGUAAGGGGGGUAUACUGGAAUCAGCUUGUCCGUCCGUCCGGCUGUCCGUCCGUCCGGCCGUCCGUCGGUUUUUUCUUGUCCGCCCAAUAACUUAAGAUUCCUCUGACCCUUAGUCUUCAUAUUUGGCAUGGAGGUUAGUCAUGAUUAGUAGAUGACCCCUAUUGAUUUUGAGGUCACUAGGUCAAAGGUCAAGGUCACAGGGGCCUUGACUUCAAAAAGCUUGUCCGCCCAAUAACUUAAGAUUCCUUUGACCUACAGUCGUCAUAUUUGGCAUGGAGAUUAGUCAUGAUAAGUAGAUGACCCCUAUUGAUUUUGAGGUCACUAGGUCAAAGGUCAAGGUCACAGGGGCCUUGACUUCAAAAAGCUUGUCCGCCCAAUAACUUAAGAUUCCUUUGACCUACAGUCGUCAUAUUUGGCAUGGAGGUUAGUCAUGAUUAGUAGAUGACCCCUAUUGAUUUUGAGGUCACUAGGUCAAAGGUCAAGGUCACAGGGGCCUUGACUUCAAAAAGCUUGUCCGCCCAAAACUUAAGAUUCCUUUGACCUACAGUCGUCAUAUUUGGCAUGGAGGUUAGUCAUGAUUAGUAGAUGACCCCUAUUGAUUUUGAGGUCACCAGGUCAAAGGUCAAGGUCACAGGGGCCUUGACUUCAAAAAGCUUGUCCGCCCAAUAACUUAAGAUUCCUUUGACCUACAGUCGUUCAUAUUUGGCAUGGAGGUUAGUCAUGAUUAGUAGAUGACCCCUAUUGAUUUUGAGGUCACUAGGUCAAAGGUCAAGGUCACAGGGGCCUUGACUUCAAAAAGCUUGUCCGCCCAAAACUUAAGAUUCCUUUGACCUACAGUCGUCAUAUUUGGCAUGGAGGUUAGUCAUGAUUAGUAGAUGACCCCUAUUGAUUUUGAGGUCACUAGGUCAAAGGUCAAGGUCACAGGGGCCUUGACUUCAAAAAGCUUGUCCGCCCAAUAACUUAAGAUUCCUUUGACCCACAGUCGUCAUAUUUGGCAUGGAGGUUAGUCAUGAUUAGUAGAUGACCCCUAUUGAUUUUGAGGUCACUAGGUCAAAGGUCAAGGUCACAGGGGCCUUGACUUCAAAAAGCUUGUCCGCCCAAUAACUUAAGAUUCCUUUGACCCACAGUCGUCAUAUUUGGCAUGGAGGUUAGUCAUGAUUAGUAGAUGACCCCUAUUGAUUUUGAGGUCACCAGGUCAAAGGUCAAGGUCACAGGGGCCUUGACUUCAAAAAGCUUGUCCGCCCAAUAACUUAAGAUUCCUUUGACCCACAGUCGUCAUAUUUGGCAUGGAGGUUAGUCAUGAUUAGUAGAUGACCCCUAUUGACUUUGAGGUCACCAGGUCAAAGGUCAAGGUCACAGGGGUCUUGACUUCAAAAAGCUUGUCCGCCCUAUAACUUAAGAUUCCUUUGACCCACAGUCUUCAUAUUUGGCAUUGAGGUUAGUCGUGAUUAGUAGAUGACCCCUAUUGACUUUGAGGUCACCAGGUCAAAGGUCACAGGGGCCUUGACUUCAAAAAGCUUGUCCGCCCAAUAACUUAAGAUUCCUAUGACCCACAGUCUUCAUAUUUGGAAUGGAGGUUAGUCAUGAUUAGUAGAUGACCCCUUUUGAUUUUGAGGUCACUGGAUCAAAGGUCAAGGUCAUAGGGACUUUGACUUCAAAAAGUUUGUCCACCCAUUAACUUAAGAUUCCUUUGACCCACAGUCUUCAAAUUUGGCAUGGAUGUUGAUCAUGACUAUAAGGUGACCCCUAUUGAUUUUGAGGUCACUGGGUCAAAGUUCAAGGUCACAGGGACCUUGACAAAAAAAAAAGCUUUUCUUCUCAAUUGCUAAAGAAUGUCCUGUCUGCAAUGUAUUGAUUUUGACAUUUUCACAUUUGAAGCAUGUAGAAUACAUAACUUAGCAAUGCACUGGCUUAGUAACCUCAGAUUUGGCAGGGAGGUUGUCCUUGCGCUCUAAAUGGCCACUGUUGAUUCUGACAAAGUGGUAUGCGGGGGUAUUCACGCCAAGAUAGUGGCAGUUCUAGUUUAU